rnacentral:rRNA from 1 species
GAUGAACGCUGGCGGCGUGCCUAAUACAUGCAAGUCGAGCGAACAGACGAGGAGCUUGCUCCUCUGACGUUAGCGGCGGACGGGUGAGUAACACGUGGAUAACCUACCUAUAAUACUGGGAUAACUUCGGGAAACCGGAGCUAAUACCGUAUAAUAUAUUGAACCGCAUGGUUCAAUAGUGAAAGUCGGUUUUGCUGUCACUUAUAGAUGGAUCCGCGCCGCAUUAGCUAGUUGGUAAGGUAACGGCUUACCAAGGCGACGAUGCGUAGCCGACCUGAGAGGGUGAUAGGCCACACUGGAACUGAGACACGGUCCAGACUCCUACGGGAGGCAGCAGUAGGGAAUCUUCCGCAAAGGGAGAAAGCCUGACGGAGCAACGCCGCGUGAGUGAUGAAGGUCUUCGGAUCGUAAAACUCUGUUAUUAGGGAAGAACAAAUGUGUAAGUAACUAUGCACGUCUUGACGGUACCUAAUCAGAAAGCCACGGCUAACUACGUG